UGAAAUUGAGUUUUGUUUUGUUUUAUUUUGUUUUUCUUGCUGGGGAUCCAACCCAGAGCCCCAGGUAGGCUAAGUACAUGCUCUACUACUGAGCUCUGCCCCUAGCCUGGGCUGUGGUUUUAAUGGAUGCUGCAGAUCCUUGAAUGAGGAUCCUCUUUAUGGGAGCAAAGUCAGCCUAUGACCAUCUGGUAGAGGCAGAAAGAGCCUUGCAGGUCAUGUGACUGUGCAAACCAUCAGACAUGGCCUUAAGCCUAGACUCAGUUCCAUAGAGAACACCCUGAUUUGGUGUUCCCUUUGUCCCCAGACUGUUGGGCACUGCCAUGGCACUAGAAGGGUAGAUCUCACCAGCACUACCAAUGGUGGCAUCUACAACCCCUCCCACACUGGGGGGAAAGGCCUAUGUAGCCUCUCUGGAAGAUUCCCAGGACCACUGAGAUCAUACAGAAGUGCUGGGGACUAGGAUCGGUUAACACCAUAGAGCGUGUAUAUUAGCCCCAAUGUGUUUCUUUUCUUUCUUUUUUCUUCAUUUAUUUGUGCUGUGUUUGGGGUUGAACUGGGGCCUUGUUCCUGCCAAGCAAGUGCUCUGCCUCCAAGCCACACCCCCGCCCUCCCAUUGGGUUUCACGUUGUCUGUCCAGUGUGAGCUUGGGCUGCCUCCUUCUGGGCUGGCUGUGUCAUCCCUGGGAGUGCGUGGCUGUCCCUGGAGAAUGUCUACCUGGCCUGGGCCCAUCACACAAACCCGUAGGCUGGGCUACUCACUGCUGAGUGAGUGGAGUGGUCUUAUGCCCUUGAGCAGCCAAGGAGGGACUCCACGGCGACAACUGGAUCUUGUGCAAACCUGGGAAAGGGAACAGCCCAUGGGAGCAGGCACCUCAGACACCUGUGACAUCACACACACAAAUCUGCGUGAUUGGGAUGUGACCCUGCAGCUGUGGAUGCGAUGUUUUUUUCCUUGAUCACGUCCUGCAAGGCCAGGCACGGUGUGCACAGCUGUAUUCCCAGCAGCUCGGGAGGCUGAGGCAGGAGGAUUGUGAAUUCAAAGCCAGCCUCAGCAACUUUGCAAUGCCCUAAGCAACAGAGACCCUGUCUGUAAAUAAAAUACAAACAACGGCUGGGGAUGUGACUCAGUGGUUAAAUGCCCCUGGGUUUAAUCCUAGGUACACACACAAAAAAAAAAUGUCCUUCCGGGAGAUAGCCAUAAAGCCAGAACUUCUCCGAAGCGUUUCAUAUCCACUGAACAUGGUGGUGCACACCUGUGAUCCUAGUGACUCAGGAGGCUGAUGCAGGCAGAUCAGGAGUUUGAGACCAGCCUCAGUAAUUUAGCAGGUUCCUGUCUCAAAAAAGAAAAAGAAAGAAAAGAAGAAGACUGGGAUGUAGCUCAGUGGAGAAGCACCCUGGGUUUAACUCCCAGUACUGCCUAAAAAUAAAGUAUGUCACAUUAGGCCAAUGGGGGGUCAUACUAGCAAGUGGAAUGACUUGGAGUGGCCCACUCUCCCCUGCCUGCAGAGACGUUGGGAAUAACAUACCCACACUAAAGAGACACCAGAGACUUAGGCACCCUUCCAGCUGCCCAAGGCCAAGACCAGGGCACAUUAUGGGUUUGUCACACUGGGCUUGCAGGCCAGGAAUGUGUUAGAUUGUCCCAACUGUUAACCCACUGACUGUGUGGGCUACCUCUGGGCCUGGCUUCCCCUUGGGUGGCUUGGAUGGUGCUUCCCCAAGGGGCACCACAGGAUCUCGAAGCCACCCCUGUGGCCCUCAGUGAGCCCAUCAAGGGGUGUGGGGGAGUAGGGCUGUCUUAGUGGGGUCACUCACCGAGUACUUGGGCUCCAGAAGGCUCUAUUGACAUCACAUAGAAGGCAGAAGCCUCUCGAAUAUUCGCCUCUGCAGCUUUGAC
rnacentral:lncRNA from 1 species